CGCGUAGGCGGCCUGGGCAGUCCUGGGUGAAAGCCCCCGGCUCAACCGGGGAAGGGCCUGGGAAACCACUGGGCUGGAGUGCUGGAGAGGGAGGCGGAAUUCCUGGUGUAGCGGUGAAAUGCGUAGAGAUCAGGAGGAACAUCGGCGGCGAAGGCGGCCUUCUGGACAGACACUGACGCUGAGGCGCGAAAGCCGGGGGGAGCAAACA
rnacentral:rRNA from 1 species